AACGAACGCUGGCGGCAGGCUUAACACAUGCAAGUCGAGCGCGUGGCAACACGAGCGGCAGACGGGUGAGUAACACGUGGGAACGUACCCUUUUCUACGGAAUAACGCAGGGAAACUUGUGCUAAUACCGUAUACGCCCUUUUGGGGAAAGAUUUAUCGGAGAAGGAUCGGCCCGCGUUGGAUUAGCUAGUUGGUGGGGUAAAGGCCUACCAAGGCGACGAUCCAUAGCUGGUCUGAGAGGAUGAUCAGCCACAUUGGGACUGAGACACGGCCCAAACUCCUACGGGAGGCAGCAGUGGGGAAUAUUGGACAAUGGGCGCAAGCCUGAUCCAGCCAUGCCGCGUGAGUGAUGAAGGCCUUAGGGUUGUAAAGCUCUUUCACCGAUGAAGAUAAUGACGGUAGUCGGAGAAGAAGCCCCGGCUAACUUCGUGCCAGCAGCCGCCGCCGUAA
rnacentral:rRNA from 1 species